rnacentral:rRNA from 2 species
CACUAGCGAUCCGCCGGUGGAUUUUUAGCCCUGGUGGGUAGCUUCCCGGAAACGAAAGUCUUCCGGUUCCGGGGGAAGUAUGGUUGCAAAGCUGAAACUUAAAGGAAUUGACGGAAGGGCACCACCAGGAGUGGAGCCUGCGGCUUAAUUUGACUCAACACGGGGAAACUCACCCGGCCCGGACACCGUAAGGAUUGACAGAUUGAUAGCUCUUUCAUGAUUCGGUGGUUGGUGGUGCAUGGCCGUUCUUAGUUCGUGGAUCGAUUUGUCUGGUUUAUUCCGAUAACGAGCGAGACUCUAGCCUACUAAAUAGUAACGAGAUUAUCAAUGUCUCAGUUGCUUCUUAGAGGGAUUUUCGGUGUUUAGCCGCACGAGAUUGAGCAAUAACAGGUCUGUGAUGCCCUUAGAUGUCCGGGGCUGCACGCGCGCUACACUGGCGAAAUCAGCGUGCUGUAUCCAUUCUCGAAAGGGAUUGGUAAACCCAUGAAAAUUUGCCGUGCUUGGGAUCGGAAAUUGCAAUUAUUUUCCGUGAACGAGGAAUUCCAAGUAAGUGCGAGUCAUCAACUCGCUCUGAUUACGUC